GCUUACGGCCAUACCACCCUGAACACUCCCGAUCUCGUCUGAUCUCGGCAGCAAACCAGGGUCGGGCCUGGUCAGUACUUGGAGUGGAGACAUCCUGGGAAUACCAGGUGCUGUAAGCU
ensembl:rRNA 5S_rRNA 5S ribosomal RNA